GCGCCUCUCGUUCUAGCCUCGCCUCCUGCGGCGGGGUGGUCCUUUCUCUCUCUUCGUCUGUCUUGCAAGACGCGCGCCUGAGAUCGAGGGGCAACCGAAUCGUAUCAAUCCUGCGGAUCAGUGUCUCCGAGGCAGUGGCAGGAGAGGCACACGCUAUUUUCCCGCUUGAUUCCAAGAACCUCUACGAUUUUUAUUUUUAAAGAGGGAGACGAUGGACUGAGAAGAUCCACACCAUGGAGUCUCGGGUCUUACUGAGAACAUUCUGUUGGCUCUUCGGUUUCGGAGCAGUUUGGGGGCUUGGUGUGGACCCCUCCCUACAGAUCGACGUCUUAACAGAGUUGGAACUCGGGGAGUCCACGGCCGGAGUGCGCCAGGUCCCGGGGCUGCAUAAUGGGACGAAAGCCUUUCUCUUUCAAG